GGAAAUGCUGUGAAGAAGGAAAGUAGCGUAAAUGGACCAUACAGAGAGGAUUCCCAAAGCUGAGAGGGUUUCUAUGAAGAAGCUUAUGCGAAGUGCCCUUCGGAGUUAUGUGCCGAAAUAUAAAUUUUUAUUUAUACAGUAGGCUGCAUCGGAUUCACCCGUUAUAGUGAUAGAGCAUAGUAAUGUGCUUGAGUAAGGUGGGAUAAUUUAUCCAAUUAGAGUGGAACCGCGGAGUUUAACUUCGUCUCUUAU
rnacentral:ncRNA from 1 species